GUUAAGAUGUGGGGGCUCAGAAGCGAAUCAGAGUCGCAUUGAUGCAGUUAAGGGCCCUAGAGGCAAGUCACAGCCUCCCUAACCUUUGAUUUCUGUCUUCUGAUCCUCCUGCCUCCGUUUUCCAAGUGCUGGGAUUAUAGGAAAUGGAACCCAGGGCUUUAUACACGCUAGGACUGGAAACCAGUGUCACCAUCUCAGGGUUUGGUGCCCGGAAAAGAAAGCAAACCACAGAAAGCCAGAUCUUCCCAACUCCAGUUCCAAGGACCCUCACUACUUACCCGCCAAUGGCCUUCUUGGGAAGCUGUGGGCUCUGCUCACGCGCUGAAUUAGAGGGUCAUUGUCUCCAUCCAUCCCAGCUUAUCUGCUGGAAGGGCAGCUGUGCAGAAUGAAAGUGAGAAAACAGAUAAAACCACCGCGGAACACCAAAGUUGAGUAGAGUGAAUCCCAAUGUACAGAUGUCAGUUCACCACAGACAAGGCAGUGUGUCCCCCUUCUAGCUU